GUCUAAAUAUGGCCUGCCUCUUUCUUCUGCCACAAUGAGAGCCAUCACAGCCCCCCUCCCACUUCUGACCGCAUCAUAAUACUCCAUGUCCUCUGAGCCCAAAUAAAAGCAGCUCACCUUUGCUGAGUAGCUCAGUCUCCCUGGGGGGGCAGAGAGGAAACGGGUGAUGUUCCCCCUCUGCACCCCUUGGGAUUUGGGAGGGCGGCCGACGUCCUGGGCUUUUCCCGCAAUCUCAGUCCCUGUAGGGGACCCAGAUAUCUCGUAGAGGAUGCCGAGCUGCCUCCCCCUAGACCCUUGCAGGCUCCCGUGGGAGCUCCUACUGGCCACGACCGUCUACUGUGCCCCUCUCGGGCAAAAGUUCCCCCUCGCUGUAAGAAGAACCUUCCCAUGCAGCUCGAAGACCCAGCUCCCAAAGGCCAAGACCUUUUGCUUGAGCCAUCGGUAGCUCAAGCUGUGUCUGGACAGGAUCCUCCAUUGGUGAUCAUGCCCCAACACAGAUUGACCAAGGCCCACUGUUUAACCUGGCCGUGCAGGCCUGGCUGGUUGCCGCUUUUUGGAGCCGAGAAGGAAUUUUCCCCUGGGAGGUCUCUCGAUCCCCAGGUUUUUUGCCUUCUCUGCACGGCCUUCCUCUUGAGCUCUGCAAGCGCCUUGGCUUGACGCUGAAGAAGAGUCAACCAGUGGGUCUUUUCCCCUCCCGCCCCCCCCAAUAAAAUAUAAAUUAAUCUGAA